CUUUCUUUUAGUGUUCCCCCCAAUUUAUCAAACGAAGAGCAAAACCCUAGCCCCUACAACCCCUCUUCUUCUCAGAUUUACUAUACUACCGUUGGCGAGCAACUGUAAACGUCUGUAUGUACACACUUCUUCUCCUUCUUGUCUAAACAACUAUCUCGCUCUCUUUCGUAGGAAUCUGUAUCUCCUCUGUCCUAGCUUCACCUCUCAGGGAAUUUGUACGUCUCCCGUCUCUUUCUAUUCUGUAUCAAUGGGGAAUGUAAGAUUGUUUUCUUAACUAUUGAUAUCAGUAGUUUUCAGGAGAAUACAUCAAACAUCUUCAACCCUAAAAUCACUAGAUGUAAUUUUGAGACGAAAGUUCUAGAUAUAUAACUCUUUAGUUGUGUUGUGCAGAUUAUUCCAGCAAUUUCUGGAGGAAUUACUGUUUUUUCUGUAAUUACAUAUUUUUCUUAUUUUGUUUCCCUUAUGUUCAAAUAUAUGUGGACUCAAAAGUAAAUAAAUAAAUGUGCGCGUGUCGGAGCCCUCGGUACAUUGAUUGUUUGAGAAUCCAAGUAUUUUCUUCUUGUUGUUCCUCUAUCUAUGUCUGUUUUUCGUAGCUUUAAUUACUUCUGAGCUAAAGAACAUUUAAUGUUUUGCUCAUUUGCUGUUGUGAUACCAGUGAAAUCUCUAUUGCAUUUAUAAUUUUUUUUAUGUUAUUCCUAUUAUGGGCUUAGGUUAGAAUGAGGAAGAGUUACAAUUCAAUUAUUUGGUGGUAGUAAAUUUUCUUUUCAGGUACUCGUUCCUUCUUUUUCGUUGCCUUUUCUAGAUUUAAAAUGUUUGAUGUGUCUUAUUGAACAAAUAAACUUUGAUAUUCAUUUUAAAUAAACUUUUUCAAGGGUGCUAUAUUAUGUACCAUUCGCUCCUUCUAUGAAUGUAAACUUCGUGAAAUUCGUGAUUUUCUUUGUAGUUGUCAGACAUUUUAACUGUUAGAUAGUAGGUCUUAAUCAAAAGGGCCUGGUCACUUGAAUUUAGAGAAGGCCAACAUUUUGUGUAAAAUUAGUUUCAAACCAUUCAUUAGUUGGUUUCAUUAAUAUAUGCUUGAUACAGAUUAGUAAAAUUUCCACGAAUGCAAAUUAUUUAAGUAAUUUGAUCUAAUUAUCAUGUUGUUCCAGAAAAAGAAUGAGUCCUUCAAGUCCCUUUUUGCACUUUGCUUCGUUAUUUCUUAUCCCUCCAUUUUGUUUUAUCACUGGUUGGUAACAAUCCUUAGUGGAUUUUUGGUUUUUAGCAUUAUUUUCAUAUCCAUAGAGUUAGUUGCUGAAGUUUGCUUCUCUGGCACUACUAAGUUUAAUAUUUUUUUAAUGAAGGACCUACUUUUCAAGUUUGCUCUUUAACUUAUGAUCAAAAUUUGGGUGAUCUGAUUUAUAUGUUUGUUGAGUUGUCUAUUAUGGUCUUGAAAUUGUGAAUUAAAAUUUCGUAUGGUAAUUUAGACAUAUAAAAUAGUUGCUUGUGUUAUAGGUACGUUUGUGAUUCUGAUUCUUCUCCAUGUUUCAAAGGUGGGUUGUUUGAGAGAUGCUUCCGAUUCAAUUCUGGAGGAGUUAAAAACCCUCCAGUUUUACUUCCUAACCAAAUAACCAAGUGUCCCUUUUCUCUUUAUUAUUAUAUUUCUGCCCUCAAUUUAACUAUGAAAUUGAUUGAUGCUGCUUGAAAGAUUACUUAUUGUGGAACCCUGCAUUGAUGUCGCUGCAUUUGGAAUCAAGCAUAACAUUUUCAUAUUUGCUAUUUUGCCCUGUUCUUUUUAUUAGUCAGUGUGGAACAAAUCAUCCACCCAUAAACUUUUAACUUUCAGUAUCAGUUUUGUACGGAAUCUUGAGAUGUGACACUUGUUUUGUCGCCGCUAAAGCCUUAUUUUCAGCGGCGACUUACUUGAGAUCGCUAUUGUGUAUUAUUUUUUGUCGCGUCUUUUUUUACUUUUAGUAGCGGAUUUGGUCGCCACAAAUAUGUAGUUAUUGUAGCGACCAUCAAGAGUUGUCACAAGAAACAUUUAGUAACGGUUGUAAUAGUAGCAACCCUAAGGUCGCUGCUAAAAACAAUUAGCGACGAUAGUUAUGAUCUUUUUGUAUAUAUUGGUUUAAUAUUUAGCUUCUCUUCUUGUAUUUGGACGUUGUUAGAUGGAAAAGACAAGCAUACAAUUUUUGGUGGACUAGCUGUGGGAACACAUCCAGGAAGGAACUGUUCAAUCAAAUCAGGUUUUCGAAAUCGUAGGAAAGCUGGAACUAGCUAAAUCACACCUGCUUGCUAAAGCUGGGCGAACUACUGGCACUCCUGGGCCUUCUUCGCUUCAGCAACAAGUAGCUGCAACUCCACUUGUUUCAACAAUGGAUAUGCAAGUAACAACUAAGCCGAUGUUGAGGAAGGACUGCAAUUUAUAGCCGAUGUUGAGUUCUUACUGAAGAGGAUAUCAACGUUUUUCAGUGUGUCUUUGCUCUAUCGAAGCCGUAGCCGAAGCCGUAACCAUAGCCGAAGCCGAGAAGAGCCGAGCGAGCGACGACGACGACGGUGCGAGGCUUGCCUUCUUCUUAACUCUUUAAGAGCUACAUUAAGUGCAUUUGUAUAUAAACCCACCAAAAUCCUUUUCCUCUGCCAAUAUGGGACAAUGCCUCAUUAAAAAGAGAGAGAAACUUAAAAUUUUACUCAAAAAUUUCAUUUUCCCUUCAUUUCCCAUUCACCCUCUUUUUAAUACUUUUCCAUAUUAAAAAGAAACUCAACAGAUUUUACAUUUUCAUACAACUGAGAGUCAUCAUGAAGUUAUCAUUUUGGUCGAAGAAUGACAUCAAACAAAGCAUAACCAUCACCAAAGUGCAAGAGAUAAACUCUACUUGAAGAAAAUCAUCAACAGUUGAUUGUGAUUGAUUGCAAAAGGAACCAGUAGGCUAGAGAUGAACCAAAAUAAACUCUACUGGAAGAGCAUCAUCAACAGCAGAACCAAUAACAUUUUAGAAUUAUUUGAAGUUGGAUAAGCGGGGCAAUUUCCAAUGAAGAAUUAACUAACGAAUUACGUUUCAUUCAAAAAUACCAAAAUUCAAGGUGAAUCAUCUUGAGAUUCUUUGAUCACAA